CUUUGAGAAAUUGUUGAAAAUCACAGUUAUACGGACUUUUUUUAAACUCUUUUAGAUGUUGGGCUGAUUUUUAGUAUGUGAGUUAACCAGGGCUGAUUUUUGAUAUGUGAGACUACCAUCAUGUUUGUGUCCACAUGUGUUACUGAAAUUGCAGAUUUUGCAAUUUUUUGAGACGGGGCCAUUCGUGUCGAUAUGACGCAUCUCGUUACAUUUAAAAGUACAAACAUGAAGAUUGCUGGCGU
rnacentral:lncRNA from 1 species